rnacentral:rRNA from 1 species
CAGAGCCUACGGGACGCAGCAGUGGGGAAUAUUGCACAAUGGGGGAAACCCUGAUGCAGCGACGCCGCGUGAGUGAAGAAGUAUUUCGGUAUGUAAAGCUCUAUCAGCAGGGAAGAAGUUGACGGUACCUGAAGAAGAAGCCCCGGCUAACUACGUGCCAGCAGCCGCGGUAAUACGUAGGGGGCAAGCGUUAUCCGGAUUUACUGGGUGUAAAGGGGGCGCAGACGGCGAUGCAAGCCAGGAGUGAAAGCCCGGGGCCCAACCCCGGGACUGCUCUUGGAACUGCGUGGCUGGAGGGCA